rnacentral:rRNA from 1 species
UACGUAGGGGGCAAGCGUUGUCCGGAAUCAUUGGGCGUAAAGCGCGUGUAGGCGGUCCGGUAAGUCCGCUGUGAAAGUCGGGGGCUCAACCCUCGGAUGCCGGUGGAUACUGUCGGGCUUGAGUACGGAAGAGGCGAGUGGAAUUCCUGGUGUAGCGGUGAAAUGCGCAGAUAUCAGGAGGAACACCAAUUGCGAAGGCAGCUCGCUGGGACGUUACUGACGCUGAGACGCGAAGGCGUGGGGAGCAAGCAGG